UGGGGAAUAUUGCACAAUGGGGGAAACCCGUGAUGCAGCGACGCCGCGUGAAGGAAGAAGUAUCUCGGUAUGUAAACUUCUAUCAGCAGGGGAAGAUAGUGACGGUACCUGACUAAGAAGCCCCGGCUAACUACGUGCC
rnacentral:rRNA from 1 species